UUUCGAUAAAGAACUUGGUUACGCUGUUUAAUUUUCUUUUUUUCUUUUUUCUUUUUUCUUUUUUCUUUUUUUAAACUGUUUCCUUAUUUUUAACAAUUACGAAUGGUUUAGAAGUUAGUGUAGAUAAUCUGACAAUUGUGCUUGUUCUUUGCAUGUAGGGUGUCUAUUCACGGCGAUUCCAUAGCAAAUGGACAUUUGCAUAUUGCAGUUAUGUGCUUCCAUUGUGAAAACAUAAUUGUUUUAUGGUGAUAAUAUGUCAAAAUCAAACAUAAGGAAGAUAACAGUUGACCCUACGAAAUGUAAUACUGACUCUCGUCGACCCAGUGUGUUCGAAAGGUUGGGGACCAAACCAGCAGUCACAGCAAUAGGUCAAAAUACAUCAGAUUACUGCAGGAAUUGGGCAUUGAAUGGCAGCUGUUCAUACGGGAAAAAUUGCAAGUAUGCAAACACUCACACACUGAUAAGUCCAUCCAAGCGUGCGAAGAAGGAUAAUGCAAUUUCAAAUACGACAGGGCUUGUUGAGGACCCAUUUAAACGACUAACUUCUAAAAUUGUUAAGAAACCAUCGCAUAGUCCUGAUUUGAAUUUAGAGGAGUGGAAUCAAACAGAUCUAGAAUACGAAGACGAGAAAGUGUUAGAAAGACGUAGGCAGCUUCUGCAACGAGAAUUAGAAAUACAAAUGAAGAAAGAUAAAGAAGUUCAUGGCAAAGAAAGAGUCAGACAGAAAAAAAAAGCAAUGAGUUCAUCCUCAAGUUCACAUACCUCCAGCACAUCUAGCAGUAGUAGCAGUUCCAGCAGCGAAGAUUCUUCCUCGAGUUCAACAUCAGAUUCGCGGAAAAAAGUUAAAAAAAUGAAAUUGAAGCGACACCAUAGUGCUUCUACAGACUAUGAUGAAGAAAAAGAAAGGAGGAGAAAGCUGAAGAUAAAAAGGCUUGGAACAAAAAAUGAAAAACCUGUUGCCAAGAAAAAACGUAAAAUUGAUCCAGGUUCCGUCAAAAAAGAUAUUUCUGUAAGAACAAAUAAGAAGUGUGCAUCAACCUCUUCCACUUCAAGAAAACAUUCGACUGGUAGUCGGGUUAGAUCUCCCACGGUACAGGUAUCUACAUCAGCAGUUGCAUCAACGCCUCCUAUGUUAUUGGGAUCAUCAGUAUCAGUAGCUCAUCAUUUACCUUCUAAUAAAGCAAGAGAAAGAAAUAGAAGUGAUUCGCCUAAAACAAUAAAAGGUAGAGAAUCAGAGAAAGACGAUAGACAUUAUAAAAAGUUAAGAGAUACAGAUGACGUAUCAUCUAAAGAAAAUGUAAAAAACAAAUCCUUUGAAAAAUUGAAAGAACAAGACAAAGAAAAAAAUCGGGCAGUCGAUGAAAAAAUGAAAACUGAUGAUAGAUUGAAAGCAAAAUGUAAGGAAAAAGAUGUAAGAUCAAGAACUCCGUCUAUAGCGGACAGAUCGAAGCAUCAGUAUAAUAAGGAGACUGUAUCCGCAAAAUCACGACGUAGCCGUACACCUGAAAAAGCAACGAGAUCAAAACGGGAAGUAACUCCAUUAAGAAAUCAAGAAAGACUUUCAUCUUCAAGCAGAUCAAGAGACGUGGAGAAGAAGGAUCGGGAGAAUCAUAAGAAUGAUAAAAAUAAGGAUAGAGAAGAUAUUAGAAAAGCUGAACAAGGAAAACCAAGGCAAUCUUCUAGUCAAGAUGAGGCACAUCGUAAAAAUGUUAUUAAAGAUUUUGACGAGAAAUCAUAUUUAAAUGACAAAGCGCGACAAAAAAGUAGGGAAUGUCGUGAUAAGGAUCAUGCAAGGGAUGAACGUAAUCAUACAAGAUUUAAUCGUGAUCAACGUGAUCCACAACGUAACGAUCCACAACGUGAUAAAGAAAAGGAUGAUACGCAGGAACGUUGUCGAGAGAGACAAAGGGACAGAGAUCGUGAACGUGAAAGAGAACGCGAAAGAGAACGUGAUCGAGAUCGUGAAAGAGAUCGCGAACGUGAACGUGAACGUGAGAGAGAUCGUGAGAGGGAUCGAGAUCGAGAUAGAGAUCGAGAUAGAGAUAAGGAAUCUGUCAAAGCAAGAGAUAGAGAUGUUUCAUCUUUGGUUCCGUCUGCAUCAAUAAGUUUAACAGCGGACAAAAAUUCACGAUAUGGUCGAGAUAAAGAACGGAUUGCAGGAAAAGAAAGUACAUAUGAGAAAACUGGUACACGUGACCGUAGAAGCGAUAGGGAACGAGAACGAUCUGAAACGAAGGCACUUAAUGAACGUGAUAGAACUUCAUCUCAGCGUUUUGACGCAAGGUAUGAUAGAAAUGGCGCUGAUAAAGAUACAUUAAAUCGUAAAGCAACCAAUUCUCCACGAGAUCGAGUUGAUCGCUUUCCCAGAGAACGGUCGUUGGACAAAGCGCCUCUUCUGGAAAAAACUGUACAUCCUCCUGCAACAGCAUCGUCUGCAUCAUUAUUACCACCAGUUGCGUCAUCUACAACUUCAUCUUCCUCAGCAGUAGCAAUAGCACCUGCUUUAUCUGCUUCACGUGAUCAUUUGAUCGAUAGAGUGGAUUCUACGCAUUACGAAAGAGAUAGGCAUCGAAGAUUUAGUACAAGGUAUGAACGUGGACAUGGAUCUGAACAUGAUAGGAAGGAGUCUAGAGUCACCCCAACUAAAAUUGAUCGUGUAGUAGAAAGGAGAGAUGCUAGUCCACGCCGAGCUAUUGAAAUGGAAAGAAGUUUUAACAGAAAUUAUGGAAGACUUGGAGCAGAUCAUUGGGAGGAUCAGGAAGAACCUAAUCCACAUUUAGAUUAUCGAGAUCAUCAUCCACAUGAAGAUGACAGAAGAAAAUUAAUUGAUGGUAGAAGGUACGACAGUCCGUUUGACGAAAGACGGGGAGUUCGCGAAGAAAGAUCUAGAGAUUCUAGAUAUGUUGUACAAACUAGCGAUAGAUCUUCGUUCGAUGAUCAUCGUCAUCAUCAUCAUCAUCAUAGACAUCCAAUUUAUGGCGGAGAUAAAUUACGUCCCGGUAAUAGCGGACUAAGAGAUGAGGCUGUUCCCAAUGAGGAUUGGGAAGCACAUCAUCGAGAAGUUGAACAUGGUCGAGAUAGAUCUUAUACAGCUGUUGAUUGGGAGGAGAGAGAAUGGCGAGCAAGAGCACUCUGGGGUAGUAGGGAUAGUCUUCCACGUUCGGAGGCUCAUGACGAUGAGUGGGCUGCAAGAUAUGAAAAUUCUUUAUCUGAUUGGAAAGUUAAUGAAAAUCGAAAAUGGGAUAAUCAACCCAUACAACAUAUUCGGGGUCACUACAGAAAUGAACGAUCUAAAGAAGUUGAAUUAGGAGAAUCAACAUCGCACAAUAAAAGACGUCCAUAUGUGAAUCCAGAAGUCAGGGAAGAAUGUCCAGUUCAUGCUUCUAAACAAGCAGCUCUUUAUGGUAGUAUGAAAGAAGAACCAAUUAAUAAAAAAUUAAUGGAACUUGCUGAAGGUAGGUUACAUACAAAUCGGGAGAAAUCGGUAGAAAUAUAUCAGAAAAAAAAUAUACCAAGGGAAAAAUCUGAGGUGAAGGAAACCCAUAUACCUGAACCGAAACGAUCUUGUAUCGAAGAAUCUUUACAAACUCUACACACAGAAAGUGAUCUUAGUGAUAUCAGUGAUGAUCCUGAUGAUAUUCUCAAUAUGGAGGAAGAAGUUACGGAUGCUGAAUCAAACAAAUUACGAUUACCUAAGAAAACACCUGAAAUAACACAGAAAGAACAACAACCUGUCAUUCAAGAAACAGCUCAACCAUCACCUAAAGAAUCUAUAGAAGAUACCGUGUUCAAUGUGAAAGGAAAAGAUAGUUCUGUUACUAUGACAUUUCGAAAUAUGGUUGAUGAAAAUAUGGAAUCUAUGGUCUUUGAAGAAAUAUCUGAUGGUGAAUUGGAAGAGGAUAUUAAAACAAGUGGUAAAGGUUUAGGCGAUGCUUUAGGCGUUGAUUGGGAAAGCUUUGUAAAAGAAAUGCAACCACGUCGACCUCUGUCUUCUGGGCAACAAAAUGCCAAAAAUCGUUGGCAGUGUAAAGCAAUUUUUCACAGAAUUGGUAUAUCUUUUAAAUAUGCAGGCGAAGAUACUAUUAAUACACUAACGCAAAAAUAUGGGAAGGAAGAUCAUUCUGAUUUAUUCUUGGAUAAGGUUGCAUUAGUUCAUACAGCAUUAACAAGAAACGAAUUCUUGCAUAACAAUUUACUGGCGUCUAUGGAUGAUCUAGUAUAUAGAUUAAAAAAUGCCAAUAAUGAUGAUUUAGAAUAUGAUAUAGAUGCUCUAAAGCCAUGUACAACAUUGUACGAAACAGCAAAGUGUUUGUUGCAGCAAGCAAUUUAAAACAUUGUACUGUUUGAUGUGCAUAAAUUUAUUGUAAAAUUGUACUACUUAUAUUUUUCAUGUGACACGUGCAAAUAUAUAAAUUCAGAGCAUAAUCUGCUAUUAAAAGUAAAAUUAUCCUACUAAAAGAAUUGUGGAUCGUUACAAGUUUCUAAUUGUUUGAAGCAAUGCAUAUUUCAAUGUAACAAUAUCACAAAUUGCCGUUUAAGAAAGUUGAUGCUACAGCAUCGUUUUGAAAAAUAUUAUUUAUUUCAUUUAA
rnacentral:misc_RNA from 1 species